rnacentral:tRNA from 1 species
AGUUAAAUAGUCUAAAAAGGAUUUUAAAUUGCAAAUUUAAAGGUAGUAUUAAUUUUUAACUU